GGGAAAGGAGAACAAGGGUGGGUAAGGAAGCCUUUCAUAGGGCAGAGGACCAGAGACCGACCGGGGGCCCCAGGGAGAGGGAAGCAAGCGUGCGAUGGGGAAGCUCAGCGACCUGGCCGCUGUGACAACAGACCAGAAUGUCUGACUGAGCUGGAGCAGAGCAAGGGCCCGCGGGCGCCUUUCCCACCGAGCGGACCAGCCCGCAGCCAAGGGCCCCUUGCUCUCCUCUCUUGCCAGGGUGCCUUUUGUCCCAGCCUUCUCAAGCACUGAAUGAUCACAGCUCCCCAGGCGAGAGUUUCUAAGAAGGAUGUUCAAGAACUACUUGUCCUACCUUCAAUUUGCGGUAUGAAUCAUGUGCAGGGGACGUUCUCUAGAGCAGGGUGAGCACCGAGAGGAAGCCAAGGGGAAUUCCCAAGCACCCUAUCCUUCCCGAGCUCUCGGUUCAGAAACAAUGGCCGGACGUCUGAACCGGGAGCAUCGGGUCAGGAACUGAAGAGGAGGCGACAGGACGCCAGAACCAUGAGGGCAGCCUCUCCGUGGCAUCGGCCCGAGGGCCCAGAGGCGCAGGUCAGCCCGGUGUACAAGCCUUACAGUCCAGACUCAGAAAGAAACCUCAAACCAUACAAGAGCCUCUAAAAAAUAUGUUGGACUCCACUGUAAUGUGUAAUUGCAAAAAAUAUGUAAUAACUCCAUCACAGUCAUUCUACUGGCUUCCCAUAUCAUUCAGAUUAAAAGCUCGAGUCCUUAGAGUCAGUUCUAGCACGUACAUCAUCUACACGAGCCCCCCACUCCAUCCUCCGUCCCCGGGCCUGCCCACCUCGCUGAAGCAUUCGGCUACUUCCCCCAGCCCUGGCUCACUCUGUUUCCACACUAGUUCCCUCACGGGCCUCAAUACACAAAGCAGACUCUGCCCCAGGACCUUUGUACAAGCAGCUUCCUUUAUAACUAAAUGGCUAUAUCACCUUCUUCAGUCUCUGUGCAAAUGCUGACUUGUCUGUGACUUUCCCUGGAAGUCUUAUGCAAAUCACCCUUUUUCCUGAUCUCAGGUUUCCGUUUACCUUGAUUUUUUAUCUCCAUAGCAGUUACCAUCUAACAUAAGUGUUUACUUUCUGUCUCCCUUCUCUAGAAUGACAUGAUGGCAGAACUGUGUCGAUUGAGGUUACUAUUUAAUCUCCAGUGAGAUUAAAUACUAAAUUAAAAAACUGUAACGUUUUUCUGGAGCAUACAUGGACUCAACAAAUAUUUACAGAAUGAAUAUGUAACCUGAGGACUCUCUCUAACAAAUUUGCAAUGAGUCGGGAAGUAUUACAACAGUCGGGAAUUCCUUAUUAUUCAACACAACUAAGGCGUGAAGACAACAGGUCCUGUCCCCAACUUCUAAAACUAGAUGUGGGCCCACUGAUGGGCCCCUCGCAAUAAACCUCGGAGUUAGGUUUUGCUAUUAACAUGUCUUUUUUUCACUAAUGAACUGAAAGAAUAAACAAAGACAUGUGAAGCAACCCACCC